rnacentral:misc_RNA from 1 species
AGCAGGGAUAUAAAAUUUUCUUUCCAAGAAAAGAAAUGGGGAAGGAAAAGUUUGGAAAAAUCUAUUAAAGAUUUGGCUUUUUACUUGAUUAAAUUGAUGGGGGCAGCUGGUUCUAUCAUUUAAGAUUAGCUGUAAAGAGUUGACGCUAAUCAAUAUUGUACAAACUUUGAUAUUGAGCAACAAGGAUUUGUCAAGAUUUGCCCAAAAGGUUCCCAUAUGUCAAUAUAAAAAGUAGAAAAGUUUACAAAGAAGGUAGACGCCAAAGAUUGAAGAGAGAUGAAGCAAAUGACAGAAAC